AGUCAGACACGACUGAGCGACUUCACUUUCUUUCACUUUCGGUGCUGCUUGAAACGCUUCAGUAAAAUAUUGAAGACAGGAAAAAUUCCUGCUCAAUUAAUAAAAGUCUUCAGAACAUGAGUUUAGAAGUGCAGCCCUGGUGAGGAGAUAGUUCCACCAUCUGGAGAGACCAAACUCAGCUAUCUCCUUUCUACCCCAUGCCCUCUUGAGGCCAAAAGAUUUUCUGCAGCAUCCUCUGUUUUCCAGCAAUUACAAAGGAAUCACAGCUGUAUUUUUAAUGCUCCUGACCCGCAGGGAGCCAUUGUCAUGUCGGAUUAAGAGCUUUCUCCCUUUCUCCAUUAAAAAGAAAAAAAGACCGUCCUUAGGCUGGCUUCAUGGGCUUGUGACUUGUGCAGGGGCAGAAGGCUUCUCACUCAGCAGGGCACCACACUUGGUUCUGCGAGUGCCGUCCUGAAAUUCUCAAACAUUUUGUCUUUGAACUUGUAAAUUAAGUUUCUAGGACAGUGGCACGUGCGUGUGAACAGAAGUGUGAUGUACAACAUGUGUUUGCCUUCUUUCCCCGUAACCCCAUUCCAUUCAUGUAGUGUUCACAGUGCUGUGUGAGCACAGAAUUCCUACAGACCCCUGAUGUAUAGGCGUUCAAUGAGACUUAAAGCAAGUACAUGGUAAGUGAAUUACAUUUAUUAUGACUAAUUAAGUGGGAAUAACAGC